rnacentral:lncRNA from 1 species
CUGACCACACUGGGCAGGAGGGAGAAGAAAAGGAAGCCCAGGGACUGGGCGGAGAGGGAGAGAGCCUGCCGCAAGGGCUUCAGGGCAGGAGGGGGCUUCUCAUUCCCCCCUCAGCUCCUAGAACAAAGGAAAGCCCCGCCCUGCCGCCCUCACUCAGUCCUGUGUUCUAUUUAAAUCCUGUGCCCCAUUGCAAGACUGCAUUCAGUCUGCAUGAGCCUUAGUUUCAUAAAAGCCCCCUCACACCGAGGGGACAAUGUUCAGAACUAAAUGACUGCAG